rnacentral:rRNA from 1 species
GUGGGGAAUAUUGGACAAUGGGCGAAAGCCUGAUCCAGCCAUGCCGCGUGUGUGAAGAAGGUCUUCGGAUUGUAAAGCACUUUAAGUUGGGAGGAAGGGCAGUAAGUUAAUACCUUGCUGUUUUGACGUUACCAACAGAAUAAGCACCGGCUAACUUCGUGCCAGCAGCCGCGGUAAUACGAAGGGUGCAAGCGUUAAUCGGAAUUACUGGGCGUAAAGCGCGCGUAGGUGGUUCAGCAAGUUGGAGGUGAAAUCCCCGGGCUCAACCUGGGAACUGCCUCCAAAACUACUGAGCUAGAGUACGGUAGAGGGUAGUUGAAUUUCCUGUGUAGCGGUGAAAUGCGUAGAUAUAGGAAGGAACACCAGUGGCGAAGGCGACCACCUGGACUGAUACUGACACUGAGGUGCGAAAGCGUGGGGAGCAAACAGGAUUAGAAACCCGGGUAGUCC